GCACAUGUUAAAUGGGUGAUUAAGAAGACAGAGAGCUGCUUAAAAGGUCAUGGGAGAAGUACAAUGUCUGGGGACUUGGCAGUAGCCUGGCAGAGACCGCAGGAAUCCUAUAGAGUCUUUUAUGGACAGGGCUCUGAAAUUCCAGAGCCUGCAGGAGUACUUAGCCAGCGUGCAGAGAAGCUUCCCAGUUAGGAGGUGAAGAAACACAAGGCUGCACUGGAUGCGGAGGCUCCCACCUGGAAUCCCAGCACUUUGGGAGGCCAAGGCUGGAGGAUUGCUUGAGCCCAGGAGUUCAAAACCAGCCUGGGCAACAUAGUGAGAACCUGUCUCUACAAAAAAUAAAAAUUACCUGGGUGUGAUGGU